rnacentral:snoRNA from 1 species
UAGCACACACUGAUGACUAACUCUGCACUUUGUUGCAGGUGUGAGCGGAACCAGGUUUGCUAAAGUAAUUGUGGUGAUAGAAAUGUAUUAGCUUCACAGCUACUGAGGUGUCCCAUUCUAUCCUAGUACAAUG